rnacentral:rRNA from 1 species
GACGAACGCUGGCGGCGUGCUUAACACAUGCAAGUCGAACGGAAAGGCCCUGCUUUUGUGGGGUGCUCGAGUGGCGAACGGGUGAGUAACACGUGAGUAACCUGCCCUUGACUUUGGGAUAACUUCAGGAAACUGGGGCUAAUACCGGAUAGGAGCUCCUGCUGCAUGGUGGGGGUUGGAAAGUUUCGGCGGUUGGGGAUGGACUCGCGGCUUAUCAGCUUGUUGGUGGGGUAGUGGCUUACCAAGGCUUUGACGGGUAGCCGGCCUGAGAGGGUGACCGGCCACAUUGGGACUGAGAUACGGCCCAGACUCCUACGGGAGGCAGCAGUGGGGAAUAUUGCACAAUGGGCGGAAGCCUGAUGCAGCAACGCCGCGUGCGGGAUGACGGCCUUCGGGUUGUAAACCGCUUUCGCCUGUGACGAAGCGUGAGUGACGGUAAUGGGUAAAGAAGCACCGGCUAACUACGUGCCAGCAGCCGCGGUGAUACGUAGGGUGCGAGCGUUGUCCGGAUUUAUUGGGCGUAAAGGGCUCGUAGGUGGUUGAUCGCGUCGGAAGUGUAAUCUUGGGGCUUAACCCUGAGCGUGCUUUCGAUACGGGUUGACUUGAGGAAGGUAGGGGAGAAUGGAAUUCUUGGUGGAGCGGUGGAAUGCGCAGAUAUCAGGAGGAACACCAGUGGCGAAGGCGGUUCUCUGGGCCUUUCCCGACGCUGAGGAGCGAAAGCGUGGGGAGCGAACAGGCUUAGAUACCCUGGUAGUCCACGCUGUAAACGGUGGGUACUAGGUGUGGGGUCCAUUCCACGGGUUCCGUGCCGUAGCUAACGCUUUAAGUACCCCGCCUGGGGAGUACGGCCGCAAGGCUAAAACUCAAAGGAAUUGACGGGGCCCCGCACAAGCGGCGGAGCAUGCGGAUUAAUUCGAUGCAACGCGUAGAACCUUACCUGGGUUUGACAUGGAUCGGGAGCGCUCAGAGAUGGGUGUGCCUCUUUUGGGGUCGGUUCACAGGUGGUGCAUGGCUGUCGUCAGCUCGUGUCGUGAGAUGUUGGGUUAAGUCCCGCAACGAGCGCAACCCUUGUUCACUGUUGCCAGCACGUUAUGGUGGGGACUCAGUGGAGACCGCCGGGGUCAACUCGGAGGAAGGUGGGGAUGACGUCAAGUCAUCAUGCCCCUUAUGUCCAGGGCUUCACGCAUGCUACAAUGGCUGGUACAGAGAGUGGCGAGCCUGUGAGGGUGAGCGAAUCUCGGAAAGCCGGUCUCAGUUCGAAUUGGGGUCUGCAACUCGACCUCAUGAAGUCGGAGUCGCUAGUAAUCGCAGAUCAGCAACGCUGCGGUGAAUACGUUCCCGGGGCU